rnacentral:rRNA from 1 species
CAGGGUUUGAUCCUGCUCAGGAUGAACGCUAGCUACAGGCUUAACACAUGCAAGUCGAGGGGAAACGACAUCGAAAGCUUGCUUUUGAUGGGCGUCGACCAGCGCACGGGUGAGUAACGCGUAUCCAACCUGCCCACCACUUGGGGAUAACCUUGCGAAAGUAAGACUAAUACCCAAUGACGUCUCUAGAAGACAUCUGAAAGAGAUUAAAGAUUUAUCGGUGAUGGAUGGGGAUGCGUCUGAUUAGCUUGUUGGCGGGGUAACGGCCACCAAGGCGACGAUCAGUAGGGGCUCUGAGAGGAAGGUCCCCCANAUUGGAACUGAGACACGGUCCAAACUCCGUACGGGAGGCA